AUGAGUGGGCAAGUGGCAUCAACAUUGGGACCUACAAAGCAAGAUUGCUCCCAGGUGGAUGAACCUGUGGUUGACCAGCAGCCCAGUGUUGAGCAGCCUCAACAAGAGAAACCGCCAGCUGAGAUUCAGGAUAUCACACCUAGACAGGAGGAAGUACAUGGAGAGGAUCCAGUGAAUCGUGAUGAAGAAGAGGAGAAGGAUCCCUUUGAAGGUAAAAUUCUGGCCUGGAAGCUGAUCUCCAGCAAUUGGCUCUGGCAAAGACUGGGGGUGAAGGUGGAGAUGGUCCCGAUGUCAGGGAGGAGUUUGCAUCAAAUACAGAGCCUGGUGAAAUGCCAGAAGCAGGUAGUUCGGACCCCAGAUGCCUGAAUGCCUGACUUACAGACUUUCAAAUAAAGAAACAGACAGGAUCA
rnacentral:lncRNA from 1 species